AGGUGAACAGGACCCUAAGAGCCUUCGUUGCGAACUCGAUGAGGAUGUGGAAAACCACAUUUGAAGCCAAUGGCAAGCCACUUACCCAAGUGUCCAUCAAAUUUGGCAAAAACCAAGGUGAUGCACUCUCCCCACUGCUGUUCUGCAUAGGACUGAACCCCCUAAGCCAAGAAAUCACCAAGACAGGCUAUGGAUGCCGCCUCAGAAAUGGAGCUACGAUCAGUCACCUCCUCUACAUGGAUGAUAUAAAGCUGUAUGCUAAGAGCGAAAGGGACAUAGACUCCCUGAUCCACACAACCAGGAUCUACAGCAGCGACAUCGGGAUUUCAUUCGGGCUUGAGAAAUGUAGUCGGAUGGUGACUAAGAGAGGAAAGGUAGUCCGCACAUAAGGGGUCUCACUCCCUGAAGGAACAAUAGCAGACAUUGAGGACAGCUACAAGUACCUCGGUAUACCACAAGCCAAUGGCAACCUCGAACUGGCAACAAGGAAAGCGGCUACGGCCAAAUACCUCCAGCGAGUGAGGCAAGUCCUAAGAAGCCAGCUCAAUGGCAAGAAUAAGACCCGGGCAAUAAACAGCUAUGCCCUGCCAGUGAUCAGAUACCCUGCAGGAAUAAUAAGGUGGCCAAAGGAAGAGAUUCAGACCACGGACGUUAAGACCCGAAAGCUCCUAACCAUGCAUGGAGGGUUCCAUCCCAAAUCCAGCACCCUGAGACUGUAAUCAAGCCGAAAGGAAGGAGGCCGGGGACUGGUGAGUGUGAGAACCACUGUCCAGGAUGAAACAUCCAAGCUAUACAUCAAGGAGAAGGCUCCAACUGAGAUUUUCUCAGGCAAAGUUAAAGAAAUGACUCUGCACACAGGCAAAUUGUCUUCAAUAUCGGCGGAAGCGGAUCUCUGAGAGCGAAUGACGGUUAGUUCCUCUGCGAUCACACUCAAGCUCCCUUCCCGCCAAUUCAGACUUUUAUUGUGACAUACAAGGAAAACACUGCCCCCGAUAUUUCGAUUCCACACCCCCGGUCCGGCCCCUCAGUAGCGAUUGGUUAACUGUUUUAAACAUUGUACCACCAGUAUGUUGGCACCUUUUCUGUCUGGUUUACAUUGAAUUGGGAAACGCUAGUUCGUUAGCACGGAAGCUAACCGCGGACGUUAGCACGGAAGCUAACUGCAAAAAGUCGUUACGUAGCUGCAACCCACCACCAGAGACCAACCAGCCGAACACCAGCGAGCGUGAAGGAGCCGGUAAACCCACUUGCCACGUUAGAAACACCCAGCAGCAAGCCCACUGGACACGUCACAAACUAGCAUACAACCGGCUAGCAACGAGACCCGACAAAAUGCCACCCAAACAGAAGCAAGACACGAAGCAGGAAGAGGAUUCCCUGACCCUCACUCAAGUAAACAAAUUACUCCAGCAACAAAAAGAGCUUUUUACGGCGCUCUUGCAACAACAACAGGAAAAUUUCAAAGGAUUUGUCAAGAUGAUAGACUCAACAAACUCACGAGGGAAGUCCAAGAAAUAAAAACCAGCAUCAACUUUACCCAAAAAGGGGUAGACAACAUUAAAAAAAAUCUAAUCUCUCAAACUGGCUAUUCCAAAGACAUGCAAACAGAAUUCUACAAAGUAUGUGACGGCAUGCUUGUAUUAACAGACAAGGUGGACUACUUGGAAGGACAGUCAAGAAGAAACAACUUGGUAAUUGAUGGAAUUGAGGAAAAACCAGGAGAAACGUGGACUGAAACAAAGGAAAAAGUUCAAAAAAUCCUCAAGGAGAAGCUGCUAAUACAGGGGCAAAUUGAGGUGGAGAGAGCUCACCGCACAGGAAGACAAGACCCUGGAAGACCUCGACCGAGGCCAGUUGUGGUGAGCUAGCGACCGUGAGGAAGCCGGGAGACAACCAGCCUGUGACCACCGCGAGGGAGCCAACGACGACCGCAAGGGAGCCAGUGACCGCGAGGGAGCCGGGAGACAGCGAGCCUGAGGCACCCGGGAGACAUCCAGCCAGCGCGCGUGAGAGAGCCAGGAGGCAGCCAGCCGGAGAGCGUGAGGGAGUCGACGACGACCGCAAGGGAGACAGCGACCACAAGGGACCCAGUGAUGACGGAGAGAGAGCGAGCAACAACAGCGAGGGAACCAACGACGACCGCGAGGGAGCCAUCGACGACUGCGUGGGGGCGGGAGCUUUAACACAUCCCAAAAACAUGGACUGCCAACCCUUGGAAGAUAUUGACUAUAAGCCAUUCGAUCCCGAGAACAAUUUCAAUUACAAUUUCAAGAACAAACAAAGGGUAACAAACUCUGACUAUUACCUGGAUGAACAAUUCAACACUAAUAUAAAAUUGGAAAAUGCACUUUCAGUAAUACACUUAAACAAUAGAAGUCUCUAUAAAAACUUCACAAAAAUCAAAGAAUACCUGACUAAAUUCAAUAAAUUUAAAAUAAUUGCCAUAUCAGAAACUUGGCUUGAUGAAGAUAAAACAAAAAAGGAGGGGGGGGGGUGCAACAUAUGUAGACAAAGCAAUUAAAUGCAGUAAAAUCGAAAGAUUGACAAACACAAUAGAAAACCUAAUGGAAUGUCUAACCAUUGAAAUACAUAAUAAAAAUGCAUCAAAUAUCAUAAGUUGCAUCUAUAGGACACCAGGAUCAUGUAUUGACACAUUUAAUAAAAAACUAACAGAUAUGCUCAGUUACUACAACAAUAAGAAAACACGAAUAAUAUGUGGUGACUGUAACAUUGACUUAUUAAACACAAAUGGGCACAAAAAAACAACUGACUUCAUAAAUACUGUGUACAGCAACAGCUUUUUCCCAGUAAUCCUGAAACCUAGCAAAAUAACAGUUGACACGGCCACAUUAAUAGAUAACAUAUUUAUAAAUAAGAUUGAUCAUAAAAUGGAAAGUGGACUUCUCAUUAAUGACAUAAGUGACCACCUACCUGUUUUUGCAGUUCUUCAUAAUUAUUUUGAUAGAAAAGCUAAAUCAACAACUCGUAUAACAGAAAUAAGACUAAGAACCCAACGUUCCAUCGAUGCCUUUAAGCAAGACCUAGAAAAACAAAACUGGACCGAGGUCUACUCAAACGAAGACCCAAAUACAGCGUUUGAAGUAUUUCAGUCUAUCAUAAUCUUAUUAUAUGAUAAACAUUUUCCAUUAACUAAAGUCUCCAAAAAGUAUGAAGACCCAAGUAAGCCAUGGAUAACGAAAGGCAUAGAAGACACAUGUAAAAAGAAAAACAAUUUAUAUAAAUUGUUAUUAAAAUUGAGAACUGAAGAAGUAGAAAAAAACACAAGACCUAUAAAAAUAAACUAGUAAAUAUUAUAAUAACCAGUAAAAGAGAUCAUUAUCAUGCACUAUUAGAGCAGAAUAAAAGUAACACACAAGAAAUAUGGAAAAUACUUAACCAAGUAAUCAGAAAUAGUCCUAAAAAAAAGGAUUUUCCAGAGUAUUUUAUCAAAGGCAAAAAUACUAUUUUGGAAAAAACUGCAGAAAUAGCAACUGAAUUCGAUGAGUAUUUUGUCAACAUCGGCAGUAACCUAGCAAAACAAAUUCCUGAUCCAACAAACUUGUUUGAAAUAGAUAGAUACGUAGAAAAAAACUCCUCCACGAUGUUCCUUACUGCUGUAAAACAAGAAGAAGUAUCAAAUAUUAUAAAAACUUUUAAAAAUAAAAAGUCAAUUGAUUGCUUUAAUAUUGAUAUGACAAUAAUCAAGCAGAUUAUAGAAUAUGUAGUGCGACCUUUCACGCACAUAUGCAACCUGUCAUUCAAAGCUGGUAUCUUUCCAUCAAAAAUGAAAAUUGCUAAAGUUAUUUCAAACUCUAAAAGUGGAGAAAGACAUCUGUUUACAAAUUAUAGACCAAUAUCACUACUACCACAAUUUUCAAAAAUAUUAGAAAAACUAUUUUCUCGCAGACUUAAUAGCUUUAUACAAAAGCAUGCGCUGUUAAGUGAGAAUCAAUA